UACGUAGGGUGCAAGCGUUAAUCGGAAUUACUGGGCGUAAAGCGUGCGCAGGCGGUUUUGUAAGUCUGUCGUGAAAGCCCCGGGCUCAACCUGGGAAUUGCGUUGGAGACUGCAAGGCUUGAAUCUGGCAGAGGGGGGUAGAAUUCCACGUGUAGCAGUGAAAUGCGUAGAGAUGUGGAGGAACACCGAUGGCGAAGGCAGCCCCCUGGGUCAAGAUUGACACUCAUGCACGAAAGCGUGGGGAGCAAACAGG
rnacentral:rRNA from 1 species